rnacentral:rRNA from 1 species
UCGAACGGUAACAGGGAGACUUGCUCCGCUGACGAGUGGCGAACGGGUGAGUAAUGCGUCGGAACGUGCCGAGUAGUGGGGGAUAACUAUCCGAAAGGAUAGCUAAUACCGCAUACGCUUUGAGAAGGAAAGCAGGGGAUCGUAAGACCUUGCGCUAUUCGAGCGGCCGACGUCUGAUUAGCUAGUUGGUGAGGUAAGAGCUCACCAAGGCGACGAUCAGUAGCGGGUCUGAGAGGAUGAUCCGCCACACUGGGACUGAGACACGGCCCAGACUCCUACGGGAGGCAGCAGUGGGGAAUUUUGGACAAUGGGCGCAAGCCUGAUCCAGCCAUGCCGCGUGUCUGAAGAAGGCCUUCGGGUUGUAAAGGACUUUUGUCAGGGAGGAAAUCCCUAAGGUUAAUACCCUUGGGGGAUGACAGUACCUGAAGAAUAAGCACCGGCUAACUACGUGCCAGCAGCCGCGGUAAUACGUAGGGUGCAAGCGUUAAUCGGAAUUACUGGGCGUAAAGCGUGCGCAGGCGGUUGUGUAAGUCUGAUGUGAAAGCCCCGGGCUCAACCUGGGAACUGCAUUGGAGACUGCACGGCUAGAGUGCGUCAGAGGGGGGUAGAAUUCCGCGUGUAGCAGUGAAAUGCGUAGAGAUGCGGAGGAAUACCGAUGGCGAAGGCAGCCCCCUGGGAUGACACUGACGCUCAUGCACGAAAGCGUGGGGAGCAAACAGGAUUAGAUACCCUGGUAGUCCACGCCCUAAACGAUGUCAACUAGCUGUUGGGGGUUUGAAUCCUUGGUAGCGUAGCUAACGCGAGAAGUUGACCGCCUGGGGAGUACGGCCGCAAGGUUAAAACUCAAAGGAAUUGACGGGGACCCGCACAAGCGGUGGAUGAUGUGGAUUAAUUCGAUGCAACGCGAAAAACCUUACCUGGUCUUGACAUGUACGGAACUUGCCAGAGAUGGCUUGG